rnacentral:rRNA from 1 species
CAUUUGUUCUCUAAAUAAGGACUUGUAUGAAUGGCCACACGAGGGUUUUACUGUCUCUUACUUCUAAUCAGUGAAAUUGACCUUCCCGUGAAGAGGCGGGGAUGAACUAACAAGACGAGAAGACCCUAUGGAGCUUUAACUAAUUAACCCAAAGAACAAAAGCUUAACCACCAAGGGAUAACAACACUACUUAUGGGUUAACAGUUUCGGUUGGGGUGACCUCGGAGAAUAAAAAAUCCUCCGAACGAUUUUAAAGACUAGACUUACAAGUCAAAUCAAACUAUCGAUUAUUGAUCCAAAAACUUGAUCAACGGAAUAAGUUACCCUAGGGAUAACAGCGCA